rnacentral:rRNA from 1 species
UACGUAGGGUGCGAGCGUUGUCCGGAAUUAUUGGGCGUAAAGAGCUCGUAGGCGGUGUGUCACGUCGUUCGUGAAAACCUGCAGCUUAACUGUGGGCGUGCGGUCGAUACGGGCAUCACUGGAGUUCGGCAGGGGAGACUGGAAUUCCUGGUGUAGCGGUGAAAUGCGCAGAUAUCAGGAGGAACACCGGUGGCGAAGGCAGCUCGCUGGGACGGUACUGACGCUGAGGCGCGAAAGCGUGGGGAGCGAACAGG